rnacentral:lncRNA from 1 species
AUUUAUAUCUCUAGUGACCAGAUUCAAGGAAAGGGACCUGCUCCUGGUUAGAAGUUUCUUUAAAGAGGUUUCUGGCAAAUAUCUUACUGUUAAACCUGAUCUUGAAUCAGAUCUUCUUUUACCUUGUCCCCAAAAACUCUUGUCUCUUAGCCCAUUUCAGUGGCAUUUGCAAAAUUUGAAAUGGACAGAAAAUAAAAAAUCUCCUUUCAUUUGGUUUGCAGCUCCUGACUGCAAUUCAUAUAAAGCCUGCUGUAGCUCUAAAGGCAUUACCAGUGAUGGAGAUGAAGGUGAAUGGAAAGAAAAAGUGCAGGAAUCAGGACAAUCAUUGGAGGAGGAGCCCUGGUUAAACCUGGUGACUGGGGAGCAAGACCUGUGCACCAGGAACUGAAAUGCAAUGCGAGUUUUGUCAAAUCUACAUCAAAAUAAAGUUCCAAAGCAGUAUUUAACA